rnacentral:rRNA from 1 species
UACGGAGGGUGCAAACGUUGCUCGGAAUUAUUGGGCGUAAAGCGCACGUAGGCGGUUUGUUAAGUCGGAUGUGAAAUCCCUCGGCUCAACUGAGGAAGUGCAUCCGAAACUGGCAAGCUUGAGUACGAAAGAGGGUCGCGGAAUUCCCGGUGUAGAGGUGAAAUUCGUAGAUAUCGGGAGGAACACCGGUGGCGAAGGCGGCGACCUGGGUCGAUACUGACGCUGAGGCGCGAAAGCGUGGGGAGCAAACAGG